GGAAGUGAUGUCAGUUACAGAAGGAAGUUCCGGGUGAGAGGUGAAACGGGAGGAAGUAGUGAGAAGACAUUGUUGAAACUGGCAGUAGAUGAGGGAACUGGCAAAGAUCACAUGACCAAUGAGGAUGAAGGAAGAUUGGAGUCACAUGACUGAGAAGAUACUAAACCUCACCCUGGAGAUCAUCUACCUGCUGACCGGAGAGAGAUUUCCUCUUGUGAA